GGAGUGUCAUGAUAAGCGAGUAAUUCCUUGUCUUGUCUAGCUCUGUGUGUUCCCCGAGAUUAGUAUCUUGGGGA
rfam:Listeria floridensis FSL S10-1187 c1, whole genome shotgun sequence.